UGGUCUCUACAUAUAUAUAUCGAUCGGCGUUCGAUCGAAGUUGAAAUCAACCCAGUGAUAGUUUACUUACUGGCUUUCUGUAACAAACAAUUGGUAAAUGACGCGAGCCUCUCUCGUGACUUUGUUGAUGCUGCUUUGUAUAGCACGGAGUAUCCGUUCCCAGAUUUAUCAAAACAUGUCGAGUCUCGCUGGUGUACAUUCUGUGGCGUACGUUACCGUGCCAGACGACGCAGUUGCAAAAAGAUUAGCACGAGGUCUAGUCGAAAACAAGCUCGCUGCCUGCGUUAAUAUCAUCCCGCGACUCACGUCCAUAUACGAAUGGGAAGGAAAGAUACAAGAAGAAUCUGAACUUUUGCUGAUGAUAAAAACUAGGACGGAGAAAGUAGAUACUCUAACAAAAUAUGUCAAAGAAAAUCAUCCGUAUACAGUUUGCGAAGUAAUCUCUUUGCCCAUACAAAAUGGAAACAGCGAUUACCUGAAGUGGAUCAGCGAAGUGGUACCAUCGCUUGAUAAAAACGCUUAAAAUAAUUAAGAUAUAUGAUAUACUCAAUAACUAUGUUUACACGACAUUCUUAAUCGGGUUUAAUAACAUCUGUAGUUUAUAAAACUGAGUAAUCAUAGCUGUCAAUCCUGUGAAGAAUGGAAUGACUGUGAUUGGCCAGUUUCAUAAUUGCGGAUGUUAUUAAACCUGAUUAAAAAUGUGUCAUAUAAACGUAAUCAAUAAUUCAUUGAUAAGAUUGAAAUUGGUAAAAACUAUUUACUUUCGAUAACCGACUCCCGACUCAUAAAACUCCGUGAUCCUGCCAACUUGAUAAUCGCUUUUUUCGAAACAUACAUAGAGAGGAAGUGCGCCCAGUAUCGGACCUAAGGUUUUCUCAAAAUUGGAAAGAAUCGAAAAUGAGAAUCAGUAAUGGCCUAGUUUACAUCGUGCACUUGAUACAGAGAAUAUAUAAAUAUUUCGAAAGGCGUUCAAAUUGAAAUUAUAAUUUAUAACACUUCAACAGAAUUACAAGAUUAGACACAAAGCAGCCUGUGUGUCUGAUUCUGAAUGAUUUCAGAGUUAUAAGAUAAGAGAAAUAAUCAGAAUCGUAGAAUGAUGAUCGGAAUGAAGAUCGGAUUCUGGAUGAAGAUUAGAGGUUAAGACUAGAGGUUAAGAAUACAACACCAGGCUGAAACAUGAGAACACGUAUCGAAGACAAAAAUGAAAGAACGAUGGAAAAUAUUAAACCACUUUUGCUUAUGCACUUUGAAUGCUGCUCUAUCUAUUCGUUGCCGUUAUUUCAAUCAAUUUUGACGUGACGAGCAGUCAUUAGAUGUCAUCAGCCUUUGGCGGGAACACAGAAGCGGGAAACAGAUGUAUCGCUAUACAACUGAUAGCGUGCUGGAGAGGGAGAAGUCGUUGGCAGGUGUUGGAAGGAGUGGAGUGGGGGAAGAAUAUCCCCCUCUCCCAUUCAAUUGUAAAGCGGAGUAGACUCUUGCAUAACGCAUAACAUGUAAUGCAUAAGAAAAUGUACAAUGUCAAAA